rnacentral:rRNA from 1 species
UACGGAGGGUGCGAGCGUUGUCCGGAUUUACUGGGCGUAAAGAGCGCGUAGGCGGCUCGUUAAGUGAGAAGUGAAAGCUGUGGGCUCAACCCACAAACCGCUUUUCAUACUGGCGAGCUGGAGUGAUGCAGAGGUGGAUAGAAUUCCCGGUGUAGCGGUGAAAUGCGUUGAUAUCGGGAGGAAUACCCGUGGCGAAGGCGGUCCACUGGGCAUCAACUGACGCUGAGGCGCGAAAGCGUGGGUAGCAAACAGG